CCUAGCUCUCACAAGCUAGGCUGUGUUAUGUCGUACCUUUGGUACU
rnacentral:sRNA from 18 species